ensembl:lncRNA
CCGGCCUUUGUGGGGCUGCAGCCGCUGGCCGGGGGGAGAGCGGCUCUUCCCAACGCCCCACCGGUCCCGGUUCGGCCCCGUUCGGUGCCGGUUACGCCCCGUGGAGCCGUGGGAUCGAGGCGGAGGGGCUCUCCCAGCCCCAUCCCCACUGGAAGCCGCUCCCGAGGCUGCGCUGCGUUCCGGCAGAGCCGAGCCCGGGGGGGCUCUGAGCUCCGCCGCCGCUCCGCGGUGCAGAACAGCGCUCACGCGUGGAGGGAAGCCCAUGGCACCCGGCCCCCCGGACCCCCCCCCUUCCCAGCCCCAGCCCUGCUGCGCAGGCCCAUAGCACCCCAAGGUCCCCCCCGGGCAGUGCUGGGGAGCACGAGCAG